rnacentral:rRNA from 1 species
GAAGGUGGGGUAGAUGAUUGGGGUGAAGUCGUAACAAGGUAGCCGUAUCGGAAGGUGCGGCUGGAUCACCUCCUUU